rnacentral:rRNA from 1 species
AGCGUAGGUGGCCUAACAUGUCAACUGUGAAAACCCGGAGCUCAACUCCGGACUUGCAGUUGAAACUGGUAGGCUUGAGGACGGUAGAGGAAGACGGAACUGCCAGUGUAGGGGUAAAAUCCUUAGAUAUUGGCAGGAACGCCGGUGACGAAGGUGGUUUUCUGGGCCGGUUCUGACACUGAUGCUCGAAAAACCAGGGGAGCGAACG